GAGAUGAUGUCAGCGGCGGGCUGGCAGCCAUGGUGUGAGGGCAGUGACUGAGGCAGCCGGCCCGGCUCAGCCCGGCUUGGUUUAGCUCAGCUCAGCUCGGCUCGGCCCGGCCCGGCCCGGCCCGGCAGCAUGUCGGGGCCGAGCGCCGUGUCCGAUCCGCAGCACCCGGCGCGGUUGCUGCGGGCCCUGAGCUCCUUCCGCGAGGAGAGCCGCUUCUGCGACGCGCACCUGGUGCUGGAGGGGGAGGAGAUCCCGGUGCAGAAGAACAUCCUGGCGGCCGCCAGCCCCUACAUCAGAACAAAAUUGAAUUAUAAUCCUCCAAAAGAUGAUGGCUCAACGUACAAGAUUGAACUUGAAGGGAUAUCUGUUGAUAUCAUGAAAGAGAUACUAGAUUACAUCUUCAGUGGGCAGAUCAGGCUAAAUGAAGAAACUAUCCAAGAUGUGGUACAGGCAGCUGAUCUCCUGCUGCUUACAGACUUAAAAACUCUCUGCUGUGAGUUUUUAGAAGGUUGCAUAGCUGCUGAGAACUGUAUUGGUAUUCGGGACUUUGCACUACACUAUUGUUUGCAUCAUGUUCACUACCUUGCCUCAGAGUAUCUGGAAACUCACUUUCGAGAUGUCAGCAGCACAGAGGAAUUCUUGGAACUGACUCCUCAAAAAUUGAAAGAAGUGCUGUCGAUGGAAAAGCUCAAUGUUGGAAACGAAAGAUACGUCUUUGAAGCGGUGAUUAGGUGGAUUUCUCAUGAUUCAGAAUCGAGAAAGGUUCACAUGAAGGAUGUCAUGUCAGCAGUGUGGGUUUCGGGCUUAGAUGCAGCGUAUUUACGUGAGCAGAUGAUGAGUGAACCACUGGUACGGGAGAUCGUCAAAGAAUGCAACAAUAUUCCCCUCACACCGCCCCAGCAGGGAGAGGCGAUGCUGGCCUCCUUCAAGCCCCGGGGUUACUCAGAGUGUAUAGUGACUGUUGGUGGAGAAGAACGAGUAUCACGGAAACCAACCUCAGUGAUGCGGUGUAUGUGUCCUCUUUAUGAUCCCAAUAGACAGCUCUGGAUUGAACUUGCUCCUAUGAGUAUUCCAAGGAUCAAUCAUGGAGUAUUGUCAGCAGAAGGGUUUUUAUUUGUGCUUGGUGGUCAGGAUGAGAACAAGGGAACACUGAGCUCCGGAGAGAAAUAUGAUCCAGAUACCAAUUCGUGGAGUUCCUUGCCACCGAUGAAUGAGGCACGACAUAAUUUUGGUGUGGUAGAGAUUGAUGGAAUUCUGUAUAUUCUGGGAGGUGAGGAUGGUGAAAGGGAGCUAAUCUCUAUGGAGAGCUAUGAUAUUUAUAGCCGGACCUGGACCAAGCAGCCAGACUUGACCAUGGUUAGAAAGAUUGGCUGCUAUGCAGCUAUGAAGAAGAAAAUCUAUGCAAUGGGUGGAGGCUCCUAUGGAAAACUCUUUGAAUCUGUUGAGUGCUAUGACCCUAGGACUCAGCAGUGGACAGCAAUCUGUCCUCUGAAAGAGAGAAGAUUUGGGGCAGUGGCCUGUGGAGUUGCUUCUGAGCUUUAUGUAUUUGGCGGGGUCAGGAGUCGUGAUGACAGUCAAGCCAGUGAGAUGGUGACAUGCAAAUCUGAAUUUUAUCAUGAUGAGUUUAAAAGGUGGAUUUAUCUAAAUGACCAGAACCUAUGUAUCCCAACUAGUUCUUCCUUCGUGUAUGGAGCUGUGCCCAUCGGAGCCAGCAUAUAUGUGAUUGGAGAUCUCGAUACAGGUACAAAUUAUGACUAUGUUAGAGAAUUUAAAAGAAGCACAGGAACCUGGCAACGCACUAAACCGCUAUUUCCAUCGGACCUUCGCCGUACUGGCUGCGCAGCUUUGCGGAUUGCAAACUGCAAGCUCUUUCGACUGCAGCUUCAACAAGGAUUAUUCCGCAUUCGCGUACCUUCUCCGUGAUCCGUAUGCUGACAGUGGAGGAGACUGGAAGAAUUCUGCGCAGUCCGCCAUAAUAUAGCUCUAUAUAAAGGAAAAGCUGAGAAUUACAGCUGAAACUUACACUGUAUGCUGUGCUUUGAGGGACAGCUGUGUCUCAGGAGGUGUGACUGUACCCAGGGACACAGGCAUACUGAAGAAUGUAACGAAGGUAUGUUUCGGUGCCCCUCGCAGCGAUGCUUUUCAGAGGAUUAUAUUUAAUUUGGGGUAUGGAUCCUUUCUGCCUCUAAUGUUAGCAUCAGGGUUUUGGGGGUUGUGUUCUCUUAACUCUUUGGAGUCCUUAAACAGCUUCUUCAGGUGGGUGGGAGGGGCCUUAAUUAUGUGCAAGUUUGUUUUGCAGUUAGAAGCUACUGUUUCCAUCUUAACUUGGAGUAUUUCCUUUUACCAUUAAGGAACGCGUACAGGCCUGCGUUUCAGCGUCAGUGCUGUAAGCCUUUUGACACUUGCCAUUUUCUGUUGCUCUUCCUCGUUUGUUAUUGGAGUUGCGAGCUGCCUCAGCAGGGUCUGUGUUUCCGUGGCCUGCCACUUGUGAAAGAAAAGUAAGAUCUGUCCUCACGUAAGGUUGGGAAGGUGAGCCAGUAAAAGCUGACUUGGAGACACCGCUGUAAAGCCAGUAAGAUUUGGGUGAAGCACCACUUGUUUUCUGUAGGGGUCAGAUCCGUGUGCUCUGAGGUUUAUUGAUAGGUUGGGCACCUGCUCUCCAGCAUCCCUGUGGUUUUUGGUUGGUUUGGGUUUUUUUACCCUGGGAAAUGCCUUACUGUAGGCAGGAUUGCAGCCGGGCUUUAAGGUGACAUCUCUGAUCAGCCGUGCCCUGCGCGACUCUCUAACUGCUCUUGUACUCCAGUAAUCAAUUCUCUCAAAUUUUUGAUUAACAGGUAAGCUAAAGGAAUAGACUAAAACCAUGCGGAGUGUCUAACUAGAUAAAUGCCUGCUAAAAAGGAUUAAGUGUAAUAAGAGUAUAAACUGCUGCCGACAGGUGAUUUUGUUGUAAAUUUGUUGGUGAUAUAAAAUCUUAAAGAUAUCUUUAAAAACAGCUUAUUCUAGGUAGCUGCUUAUUAAUUAUAACAAUAAUUAAAAUACAUAAAGGAUUUGUUUAGAAUAAUAUUUAAAGGUUAUUUGAAAUAAUCUAUUGAAGUGUCUUUUGAAAAGUGAGCUGGAAGACUGGAACUUUUCAAUGUAAAAGGCUAAAUCUUGUUGCCCAGUGUUUUUGCAGGGUUUCCUGUGAAUAACGAACAUCUGCCAGAGUGCAUCAGUAAAUGAAUGUGCUCAAUGCCGUUGCCUACCUGUGCCCUUGAAUUUUCAUAAUGAAAUGAGGCUAUACUGAGCCCUUGUAAAAACUGAUGGAUCUGAUUACUGUAAUAGGAUAGAAAGAAGCAUCCCUGGUGUAAGUAACGUGAUUUUAUUGAUAAAACAUUAAAAUGUAAUAUUUUUUUUUGGUAAAUACUGGGUGCUUUUGAAUCACCACCUAAUGCCCUUGAGUUUUUUUUUUUCUUUGCCUUUCCUUCCUUCUUGGUUAAUGCUAAGACAUCCUCUGGUUUUGUUAAGGGCAAGUUUUUUUCAUCUGUAGUUCUAAACCCAGUCAAAGCCUGAAAGAUACCAUUUAAGCAGGCUGUGCAGUGGGCUGCUUUUAUCAGUAUAAUUUCUGUGCAUUCUGUGAGCAUGCUGCCACCUCCGCUAAUUUCAUAAUAGAAAAAAAAAAUAUCUGUGGAACAAUAUUGCGCCUGAUGAAAGCAAGAGCCACUUUGGAAAGUCUGAAUUCCAGUAUGCGAUAGGCAGCAUGCUACGAAACCCUUAUCCCUGCCUGUUCUUGGGGUUCUCACCUUAGUGAUCUCACGUGCUAAAGCCUCAGCUAGGCAGCACCUAUUUUAUUAAUUUACUCAUGAUAGCAGGAAAGCAUUAUCAUAUUGUUCACUUGUUUUGCUAUUUUUAGGUCUUAAAAAGUGAAGUCUGCUUAAUUACUAGACUAAGUGAGCUUGUACACUGGGGUAUCUGGCAAGGUGGUCAGGUUGAACAGAGCUGACGUUCUUUAGAACUCGUUAAAAUUUCUUUCUGAAGGAAAGCCAAGGAGUACCCUCUUCUGAAAGAGUUUGAAAGUAUUUCUUAACUAGUCUAAAACUAGUCCAAAGGAUUCUUCUGGAUUGCUUAGAGAAACUGGGCUCUCUUCUAGCUUUUGUUUGCUUGGGGAAACAGCUGUUAAGUCAAUUUUAAGCUUUUUUUUUUUCUCCCUGACUUCAAAAACCUAAUGAUUUGCUUCUUGUAAUUGAAACUUUUUUGUACUGAGACUGUAUUUUGCAGCAUAGGGUGAGCGUUCUAUUGUAUCUUAGUUUAAUCAAUGUAGACAGCCAGCUGUGCUCUUGUGGACUCGUAGAAGGCAGCAUUACAGUGUUAAGAGGCAAGGGAAAAUAUCAGUAAACCAGCAAGAUUCUCCUUAGACUGCACACAGCCUUGCUGUUUGCACCUGAUGGGGCAACACGCCGGUUUUGGCAUUGGCACAGAGCUCGUGUAAUUGCUACCCCUUGCUGCCCUCGGUGUUUGGAAACAUGGCUGGACGUUGCCCGGCUGCAGACUUGUUGAGUGCCAGGGAGGACUUGAAGCUGUGGCUGGCCUAGAGUUGACCCCCAAAGCCCUGUUAAACCAACAGAUGCAGGUUCCUGGGCAUACCCCGUGCAUAAUGCUGCUUUCUGGUGUCAGCUGUUGUGUCUUUUGCUCUUGUUAACAGAAUUUUGCUUUCGCUCUUGCCCUAAAUUCACUUCUGAAUGCAUUGUUUUUGCUGGUGAUAGCUAGGAAGAGCUCCUGUGGGAUGGAGGACGUCCUCACAAACUUCAUCUCUGUGCACUGGCUUUUUGCACAUCUCUGCAUCCUUUAACUCCGGUUGGUGUAUGUGGGGAGAGCACUUAAUACGCGAUGAAAUGACUUUCCAUCAAGCUUGUAGAACUAAUGUCAGAUCACCUGAACAUCUCUAAGCAAUCCUCUAGGUUGAACACGUGUAGCCCGCUCCCAUGUACGCGUAUUACUUGUGGCUGGAAUUCUGCUGCCUCGUCCGUGGGGAAGAGCCCCUAUUCCCAGCUACCUCAUUUUUUUCCUUUGCACUUUGUCAAAUCUUUGUUUUAUUUUGUUUUAAAUUGCAUUUUGUCCUUCAAUAAAAAACUAAAAGCAGACAAGAAGCAGGGCAGAAUGAUGCCAUUGUCCAAGGACAGUUUACUUCAAUUUAAUUUUAAAUGCAUGUUUCUGUACAAAAAGACCAAGGUUGACCUGCAGCUGCUGUAAAAAGUAAAUAAGAAUUUAUAUUACUUGAAAGUAACUAUGAUACUUGUAAAUGAGAGAAGCAAUUGAAAGACUGUCCUGACAAUUUUUAAAUAGGAAGAAAUCUGUUUAAAAAAUAGAAGUCUUUGCUCUUUUAAGGACAGGACUGAUAGUUUUCUCUCCGCCUCUACUCUGCACUGUUUUGCCUGUGAACUUGAUCCGUUAUCUCAAUAGAGAGAUUCACUGUUUUGGUUUUUUUUCCUGUAAUGUCUAACCUGGAUUUUUUUUCCCAUGGAGUUCCUCAUUUACUCACCUACAGAGGAAAACCUGUACAAAUAAAUACCCAGCUUCCAUACCUGAGAUUAUGUAUUUGCCCAUUUCUUUGGGAUCUUCAAGUAUACAGGAUUUUGCUUAGCUUGAAGAACUAAAAAAUAAAAAAGCAGCAUGUUUUCUUCUGCUUCUAAAGGUGCUAUUUUGACAUACUUCUGAAUUACUUACACUGUGUGUGACUUAUUGAAGCACCAAUAUAAGCUGAUAAGCAGCUUGUGUUUGUUCUCUGGGUUGGUGAUUUUUUUUUUUUUUUGAGUAUUCAAUACGUUUUUUUAAAAAACAUCUUUUCUCAUAAAGACAGCUUCCAAACUGUCAAAGGCCUUAAUAAUGCAAAAUGUAAUGGAAAAAUGCUGCCUUUUUUCUUUCUUCGUAAAGGCAAGACCAAGAAAUGCUUCACGGGGAACACUUUCCUCUAAAAUUUUAAGUAGCAGCACAUAUUAAGUUUGAAUUAAAUGUAGCAAACAUUUUAAUGGCCAUGCAGAAAUAGUAAGUAUAAAACAAGGAGCUAUUCAUGUCUCUGCAGACUGUACCAGUUAGUGCUAAUUCCAGCGGCUUCUAUUGGCAUCACGGUGGCUAUUCCGUAAAUAUUAAUCUUCCUGGGCUCAGACCCAGGACCUGGCUGUGUGUUGUUCCCUGCGUGUCUGGGACACACUGACCUAUGUGGCUGUCAGCAUCUGGAUGUUGGGUCAGGUAUGGGUUUUGCCUCAGACCUCAUCAUCAAACAAACCCUUGUCUGAGGCAAGGUCUGUUCACCCCGGAGGAUUUAGCCGCCCCGCGCCGCGGGUGAGCAGGAGGUAGAAGGCGGGAGGCUACCAACUGCUGCCAUCGCUAGAGUGGCGCCAGCUUGGUAGAUCUGCAGAGAAGGCUCUUGUAGAUGCAAGCCACGGAGAGCUGAAUUUUAAUCCUGUGCAGGAACUUUGUUGUUGUCUUUAUUGCGCUGUUUGUCCGUACCAUAAGUUCAGUUUAGGGAUUUGGUAACUUAGCAUUGCUAGAAGUUUUUCAUGCUGUGGAGGACAUAAAAAUCGUUCUCCUGCCCUGUCUGAUGGAGCAGGAAGGAUCAGGGUGUUGAUGUUUGAGCUUGUCCCAUCUCCAGACAGCAGGUUACUGCCUUUUUGUUGGCUUCACAGUCCCAUUUCUCAGUCUUCUUAACCUAAGACCCUUUUGCCUUCUGAAAAGACUCUGGAGACUGCCUUGUCGUUCUCCUGCUUCACACGUGUGCUGCCCUUUGGACCAUCCUAACUCAUCCAGACUGUCAUUGUCCAGGGCUGGUGCCCUUCAUGAGGAAUGUCUGUGUUACCUGCAGCGCUUUCUGAAGAACCGCCAGUAAUUGAGAGACUAUGGAGAGCCCUACUGAGCUUGCAAAUCCUUGAUGCUCUUAUUUUAGGGAGGGCUGAACAGCAACACCAUCCACUGCCAGGCCUGUGCACAGAGUCUGACCCUUGCAGCACCGUGGCAGCAUGGGUAAGGAUGAGUCCACCCUGUCCCUUACAUAAGGGUAAGAUCUAAAGGUUUAGAGGCUGAGUGUUAUAGGAGAUCUAAUAUUUUACAGUUGUAUUUAAAUCUGAAAAUAUUGGAGGCUCUGGGACUAUUUCUUCAGGGUGGAACAGCAAGUAUUGGCCGAAGUAGCUGGGGAGCUCCUGGCCACCUGGUUGUCCCCUCCACUUUUUUUUUUUUUUGAGAAAACAGAACUGUAAAACUGCUUCCCAGCUUGUAUGGUUAGUUUAAUAAUCUGAAGUGGGAGCCUGACAUGGUGAGAUUGUUUUAAUUUUGCCUUCAAAAGGAAGAAGCAACACUUCUUCGCGUUGGAUGCUCUAGCUUCAGAAUUUUCCCUUGUAAACUGUGUUUAUUGAGUGCCAUGAAUCUUGUAGGAUUGGGCUAAUGAAUUGAAAUACAUGUUAUAUGAAUGAUGACUAAUAUACUUAGUCUGACUUUGUACUGUACAAAUAUUCUAUUUUAGCGUACGAGAAUGAAAUAACUACAUUGAUUAAUCCAAUUAUGAUAUCUGUAUUCUAGGAGCCCAGUAAUAGGAGGGGUUUCUAAUGUAGUAAUACAUUGCUGGUGCUCUGGUAAAGGCUCAGUGUUCUGUCAAAUCGAAGAUCUUAAUAAUUACCAGGAUAUUGUCAGAAUAUAUUGCUGGUUUUUUCUACAAAAAAAAUAUGUCAGUGUGGUCUGUGGUAGAAACACUCACCUGGUCUUGUUUACCAUUGCUGGCAUGCAGCUUGACAGCAAGGUUUACUCCCACCAUCCAGCUGUCAUGCUUUGACUUCUGUAUCACAGAUGUGUUUACUGUUACAGGCUUUUUAUGUGCAUACGUCUUCUGCAGGUCUUUUUGUGCUUUGUGUGGGAAUGGAGUUUUUGCUUUUAUUUAUGUGCCCACCCCAAAAUCUCCCUGUGUUGCUUUUGAAAUGAAUCCAUGAAUCGCUUGGGGCCAGGCUUUGGAAUGCUUUGACCCGAUUCUGUUGAGUUACUUCUGUUAAAAACAGAAAUAUAAGAUGUAAAUGCUCUUUGGCCUCAAUCAAACUAUGCAAUAUAGCGCACCGGAGAGCUGAAUUCCUUGUGAUACAGAAGGCGUGCGGUUCUUGUGUCCUUCCAAAUCCAGUCCUUGGUCCAAGGUUAGGAGAACUUGUACUCAGUGGCUGCCCAAGAAUCUUGCAUCCAGAUCAACUCUUGUUCGCUGGUUUUCCUGCUUCCCCCUGCCUUGCCCGUCAGUUUAUUAGGUGUUUUGGCUUUGAAUGAUGUGCUGUCAAAGUGUAUCCCUCCUGUCAGUCUCGUAUUGUUGUUGAUCGGGGCUUGCCUUGUAAACCCGCCAGCAUGGCUUACCCGCUGGAGUAAGUAUGGGGCCCCUCCGAGAUGUUUGUGUCUCUCUGCUCCAGAGCAUGUCAGGCACUUUGGGUUUGCCGUGCCCCUCCAGGUGGAUGUAGGCCUUGCUUUUGUGUUCCUGUGAUGUUCAGUUGUGGGUCUGGUGCUUACAGUAAAGAAUACCUUUGACGUCUCAAAUUCAGUCCAAGUAAGAUUUCAUUUCCACCACUUGCACGCGUGUGUGAUUUUGCUGCUUCCAUGGCAAUUCAGGGAUAAAUACCCAUGUGGUCAGGGCUGCUGGUAAGGGUACUUAGUUUAUCUAGUGAAGCUUGUUCCUUGUGUUCCUCUUCUUCCCCCUAUGAGAUACUAAUAAAACCAGUACACUGUUUUGCCCUGGCUCUACAUCCAGUGAGUAGCUCUUCUCUACCAGUUGAUCACGUCUUCUCACCUUUCCAUGCAUUCUUCAGAGUAGUUUGCCUCUAUUUGUCACUUACUUAACCCACCUUGCACCUCAUACUGCUUCUCCCUCCUAACUCAGUUUACUCACAGGAUCACACUGUUUUGUCUGUCUUUAAUUCAGGUUAACCUUGAUUUGUUUCUCUGAUUUCAAAAAGGGAUUUCAAUGCAUAACACAAGAGACAAACAGAAAAUCUCUCUGCAGAUGUCUGUGUCUUCAUUCCCCCCCGGCACAUACAGUGUAAGGGGUUCAGCCUAUUCCAUUCCUAACCCCGCGUUUUUCUUAGUGCUCGGCAGAACAAAGUCUGAAGGCUUCUUAUUUCUUCUGGUAAUUGAAAAUAUUUGGAGAUUUUCUCCUUCAGAAGUAGCCACUGCAGAUGAGCAGAUGGCGUGCGAGAGGGUUGUUAUGCUUCCCUAUUCAGUAUUUUUAAUUGAGGAACAAAUAAUUUAUUUUGGGGAAAAAUGUAAAUUUUUUUGUAUUUGUAUGUCAAAGUGGCCUUUAUAGGAAAAGCACAUAUUUAGAUUAAAAUUGCUUAGUUGUGUAAUUUUAGUGGGGAUUUUUGUAUUGACAGGGUUUCUAUGCAUUUUUCAAAAUAUACUUGCUGUUUUGUGUUAGAAUUAUUGGAAAUAUUUUUAAAAACGUGUAUUACCACAUUUUCCAUGGUUGAUCCCUUUACUAUCAUUCCUUUUGAAUGCUACAAGGAUUUUAAUUAACCCUGUAAAUUAAUUUUCCCCCACAAAUAUUUGCAUUAGGUAAAUAUAAUGAGUUAUAGCAUGGGUAUGUAGCUUUAAGGGGAUAAGCCUAGUAGUGUAGCUUAAUUAUGGAGAGAUCUUUCUGGAGGAGGGCAGUACGCAGUGUUUCAAUUGCACUUAAAAAGCCAAAUAAGCAAAUUAAGUUUUUUUGCUGCACCUCACUGGGAUUUUUUUUUAAACCGUUUCCAUCCUAUACUGUUUACACUCAAGCAUUAUUUAGAUGUGUACUAUUUGUGCAGUAUGCAACUCUCCUUCAUUCUGUCGGGAUAAUGCUAAUGCGAACAGGUAGGAAAAGUUUCAGACACUGUGUGGUAUCCUAAGGGAUAUGGUAUGAGUUUGGGGGAGGGAGGAGAGGCAAGUUAGAUCCAUUAGUGUAUUUUUCCAUUUAAUUAUGUACACAUUCUCACAUUAGCCGAGGCUAAAGUAACUGAACUUACAAUUGAAUUUUAAGUAAAAUUAGUGGUUUGAGGGUGGGGGGAAACGAAGAAGGGGUUUGCAGAACUGCAGGCAAAAAUACCCUCUAGUCGCGCUGCGGUGCAGUUGCCUUGACUGCCUAUGCAAAGCAUAGCCUGAGUUUGAGACAUCAGACCCUCUGCUAUUGCUCUGAUUUUUAGUUUCUCUUCUCGAGGUGUUACUGUAAGGCUUGCGAAGUAGAACCUCCCUGGGAGCGUUUGGCAACUGACACUUCAGUUUUAUCAUUUGGUGUUUGUAUUUUAGUUUUUGUUCUUUCUGUUUCAUAAGAGAUCCCACAUCGUUCAUAGGUUAGUGUAAGGCAAGCUUUUAGGCGUAGUAACGAACAUUGCAUGCUACCAUGUAUUCUCAUAACUGAAGUAAAAUGUGCAAUUUUAAUGGCACUUUGACCUAUUGCUGAAACACUGGGUUUUGCAAUGGAACAAACUCUCAACAAUUGAAAACACUCUGUGUCUACAUUAGGUGUCUUGAAAGUGGAGAAAAAGGCAGUUACUCCAGUUGUACCCACACGUAAUUAGGUAUUGAAUUUUUUUUUUUUAAGAGUUUUAUGAUCUGUUAUUAGAAAAAUACCCAUUUCUUUGUUUACUUUAGUUGCCAUAAAUUACCCAGUGCAGAGCCUGGUCCACCUCCAUCCAUUUAUUUUCAUGGAGUAGUCGCACACAAAAUGGUAACAGCGAAGCAGGAAAGCUGUCUGGUUACUUACCAGUAACCUCCCUUGCAGAAUUGCCUUGUGGCUCACACGCGAUACGAAAAGGGACACGAGAAUUUUCCUGGAUUGAGUAGCACUUGCUUCGUUUACGUGUUCAGUAUAAAGCUGGGUGACUAAAGGGAGGUUACCUUUUUAAAGUAUUUGACUUGUGCUUUGGGGACUUAGUUGCCACUGUGCAAAUUGUGCUGUAAUAUUGUACCAAGGAUCAGUGAAAGUGUUUUAUCUUUUUUAAUGUCGUUUGUAUUUGACCGGGUUUUAUAAAUGUAAGAAAACAGAGUGUUGUAUUUUGAUCUGAAAUUUGCGUAUGGUAAAAGUAACUUUGCUUUAUGUAUUGGAGGUUUGUUCAGAACUUGAAUUAUUUUAUAGAAUGGUACAGACCAAAAUUAAUUGUCUUAAAGGUGUUUAAUAAACUAACCAAAUAAAACAUUGAUGGUUUGAAAACUUG